UAACACAAGGGAGCUUGCUCCUGAGGUGACGAGCGGCGGACGGGUGAGUAAUGCCUAGGGAUCUGCCCAGUCGAGGGGGAUAACAGUUGGAAACGACUGCUAAUACCGCAUACGCCCUACGGGGGAAAGGAGGGGACCUUCGGGCCUUCCGCGAUUGGAUGAACCUAGGUGGGAUUAGCUAGUUGGUGAGGUAAUGGCUCACCAAGGCGACGAUCCCUAGCUGUUCUGAGAGGAUGAUCAGCCACACUGGGACUGAGACACGGCCCAGACUCCUACGGGAGGCAGCAGUGGGGAAUAUUGCACAAUGGGGGAAACCCUGAUGCAGCCAUGCCGCGUGUGUGAAGAAGGCCUUCGGGUUGUAAAGCACUUUCAGUAGGGAGGAAAGGUAAUAGUUUAAUAAACUAUUACUGUGACGUUACCUACAGAAGAAGGACCGGCUAACUCCGUGCCAGCAGCCGCGGUAAUACGGAGGGUCCGAGCGUUAAUCGGAAUUACUGGGCGUAAAGCGUGCGCAGGCGGUUUGUUAAGCCAGAUGUGAAAUCCCCGGGCUCAACCUGGGAAUUGCAUUUGGAACUGGCGAACUAGAGUCUUGUAGAGGGGGGUAGAAUUCCAGGUGUAGCGGUGAAAUGCGUAGAUAUCUGGAGGAAUACCGGUGGCGAAGGCGGCCCCCUGGACAAAGACUGACGCUCAUGCACGAAAG
rnacentral:rRNA from 1 species